GACGAACGCUGGCGGCGUGCUUAACACAUGCAAGUCGAACGGUGAAGCGCCUUCCUUUUUGGUGGGUGUGGAUGAGUGGCGAACGGGUGAGUAACACGUGAGUAACCUGCCCCCUUCUUCUGGAUAACCGCAUGAAAGUGUGGCUAAUACGGGAUAUUCUGGGUCUGUCGCAUGAUGGGUCUGGGAAAGAUAUUGUUUCGGUGGGGGAUGGGCUCGCGGCCUAUCAGCUUGUUGGUGGGGUGAUGGCCUACCAAGGCGGUGACGGGUAGCCGGCCUGAGAGAGUGGUCGGUCACACUGGGACUGAGACACUGACCAGACUCGUAAGGGAGGCAGCAGUGAGGAAUAUUGCACAAUGGGCGAAAGCCUGAUGCAGCGACGCCGCGAGAGGGAUGGAGGCCUGCGGGUUGUGAACCUCUUUCGCUAGUGAAGCAGGCCUGCCUCGUUUGUGGGUGGGUUGACGGUAGCUGGAUAAGAAGCGCCGGCUAACUACGUG
rnacentral:rRNA from 1 species